rnacentral:rRNA from 1 species
AUUGAACGCUGGCGGCAGGCCUAACACAUGCAAGUCGAACGAAUGGCGGACGGGUGAGUAAUGUCUGGGAAACUGCCUGAUGGAGGGGUACAACUACUGGAAACGGUAGCUACUAACGCCUACCAUCGGAUGUGCCCAGAUGGGAUUAGGUAGUAGGUGGGGUAAAGGCUCACCUAGGCGACGAUCCCUAGCUGGUCUGAGAGGAUGACCAGCCACACUGGGACUGAGACACGGUCCAGACUCCUACGGGAGGCAGCAGUGGGGAAUAUUGGACAAUGGGCGAAAGCCUGAUGCAGCCAUGCCGCGUGUAGGAAGAAGGCCUUCGGGUUGUAAAGUACUUUCGGCGGGGAAGCGGUACCCGCAGAAUAAGCACCGGCUAACUCCGUGCCAGCAGCCGCGGUAAUAC